UCGGGUUGAGAGUGAGUGUUGGGGUGGGUCAGCUUAGUUUUUUUAAAACUCCCUUGAAGAUUUCAAAAUCAUUUGAAGUUCUUCGCAUUUUUGUUGAGUUUCUUUGAAGAUCUUCAAGUUUCCCUUGAAUCUCUUCGAAGAUCUUCAAAGUUCUUGAGGAGGGAGCUAUUUGAGAAUUUGAAAUCUUUUUGGGACUUUCUAUAAAUUUUGAAAAUUCUUGGGGUUCUCUGUAGUUUUUAAAAAAGUUAUGGCUGAUAGAAGGAGGAAAAGACUCCUGGAGGGCAUUGACUAGAUGGCGUAGAGAGCUAUGAUACCUCUGCUAAGGGAGGCGAGGGUCCUGCAGACUGGAGCACUGGACGAAAGCUCCGGGCAACCCGGGACCAUAUAUGCAACUUCGAAUGGGGCACAUGGGUGCCCCGUAAGGACAUGCCUCCGACAUUUGCCAGAUAUGGUGAUCACAACACAGUCCAAGAAUGGUACAAGGUACUUCCCUACAGAGUCAAACAUCUCGUUGAUGAAUCUUACCUGAGCAAAUUGGCCUCGUUAGAGACUAAGAAGUUCAACCCUGGAUUGGAAGGAGGCCUGAUCAAGUGGUGGUGGCCGAGCACCCAUUCUUUUCAUCUUCCCACAGGCAAGAUCACAAUCACACACCUUUCUGCUUCUAUGCCAUACCAUUUGGGGGGAGGCCUCUGAUUCUACCUGAGACCAUGGAGGCAGAGGAUUUUAUGGACUUGACUGGCAUUGCCAUUUCUGCUGACCAGACAUUUGUUCGCUUGGGUGACAUUAGUGCUCGUUGGCGGAGACCCGACCUAAGGGUGAAUCCCAAUACAAUCACGCAGUUGGCUCACUCUUUUCUCUUGUUUGCUAUGGGUCAGUGCCUCUUCAGCGACCUUCGAGGCGGGAUAGACAUUCGUAGGGCUGCCUUCUUCUGGAAUCUCUAGGAGAUGGACACAUGGGAUUGGGGCACGAUAGCCUACGCAUACCUACUACAAACACUUGACCUUCUAGCAUAUGGAGACCAUGGCCUCAAGGGAGCAUGCUACAUUAUCCAGCCUUGGUGUUAUGAGCAUUUGAGGAUUAUGGCCCCCAUAUUGAAGAACUCAAAGGCAUCAUUCUUUCCUGUGGUCACGAGAUGAGGAGAUGGUCAAAUACUCAGGGGCAGACGCUAUCCUCCAGGGACCACCGCUUAUUCUCUCUUGAAUGAGCUUACUGAGGUUGCUUGGAAUCCUUUUCAAAAUCUUGAGUUCCCUAUCGUCGAGGAGGUUGCUCAGGCUAGACACUUGACUAAGAAUAGGAAUCUAUUUAGGGUCUUUGGGGCAAUGCUUGGUAUUUGGGCGAGCAGGUCACUUUCUAGUGGUCUACUGCAGAUCUAUGCUUUCCUUCUUGUCUUUCUCCACCCACCAUGCAUCAUCCAGAGCUCAUCCCUGAGGACCAGGUUGAGGAGCUAGCCAGAGUAUGGGAUGCCUCUUUCAUAGAUAUGAACGGAGAUUAUGAUACCUUCCUCGAGGAGACAGUCUGCAUCCCCCCUUGGUUCCAUAGGCCCAAUGGUAUGUUCCCUUUCUUGAGUAUCCUUUAAAUAUUUCAAAUCCUUCUUUCUUUUUUGAUUGAUGUUCUUUCAGUGGAGGACAUGCCGUGUGGCCGCCUCUUCUGGUUGGCCACAAUCAAAUGUUGCUAGCCCUUCCUUUGCCAGACCCUCUACUGCUACAGAUGGAUCUCAUAACAUGGCCACCGUCCCUUUUACUGGCUUCCUGGGUUAGUUUUAUCCUGAUGUAGCCAACCCUAGUAACCCGAAGCUUCUUGAACGCAGACUGGAAAGAGAUGUCUCUCUUGGACUACCUGUCCCCUAUGAUUGUGUGUCUCCGAAGGCCUGCACUGACAUUAGGCAAAUGCACCAGGGCCUUUGUGAUGUAGUGCUCCUUAAGCAUAGGAGAUUGCUUCUUUGAGGAGAUAAGUUGGCUCUCAGUUGGAAGUGAUUGCCCGGUAAGAUACUCAGCUUCGGGAUCUCACCAGGAGGAUGGCAAAUUCCCUUUUAGCACCUGAUGAUUCCUCGAUGUUCCCUGUGGAUGAGGAUGAGGAUGAGGACGUUAAUUCCUAGAGACAUGUUCUUGUUGUUCCUGCAAAACACAAGUAUUGCUUUUUUUCUUUUUCUUUUUCCUUCCCCAUGUUCAUUCAUCAUUUUUUUUUUGUUUUACCUUUUGUAUUUCCA